AGAUAGCAACGCCUCGUCGCCGUCUCCUUCGAGCCCCUUCGCCAGACACGUUUCCACGCCUAAAGAGCAUGUACAUACACCUAAACAAACACGUAUCCACGCCUCCUUAUCCAUGUGUCACCCAUUUGUCCACCCGCUACCACCCCUCAGCUCCUUAUCCACACAGAUCCAAGCUCAGCCCUUCGAAUAGAGCCUUCCAGUGCUCUCCAGAGCGGCGAUGUACUCGAGAGGGGUCAGGUGGAGAUCCGGGAGUAGCAGGGGGAGGUUGGUCGGGGUGAGGAGCGACGCGGCCAUCACGGAGAAGCCCGCCGGGGAGGAUGUUGGCUGGGGUGAGGUGCAACGCGGCUAUCGCUGCUGAGACUGUCGGAGGCAGCGAUUAGGGGUGGUAGGAGUGCGAGAUGUGGCUUGGCGACGACAGCAUCGCCUCCGCCGAGCUCACGCAGAGCGCCAAGAGCUGGCUGUUCAUUGUUGAAGUCAAACCUCAGAUUGGCCCCCUUAGAUGUUGGCCAGGUGGAUAUAGGUGAAUUUAUCAUUCCUGUUCCUCAUGUGAAGCAGAUGAAGGAAAAUAACAUCUGACUCAUUAUCUCUUCCUGAUAAGGAAAAUUGCUCUGAGUCAUGUUUGAUGGAGGAGGUCUUUGAGGACGGAUGCCCGUCCCUUUCAAGGAGGUGUUCUCCUAAGUCUGUUGAUUUAAUUCGAGUUGCAUGCUCCUGUUUUUGCAUUGGUUUGUAGUUCUCCUCAAUGCAUUCUUUGCCAAACCCUUCUAGUUUGGUAAUAUCUUCAAUCUUCUCAUAAGUUGACUGCAAAAUAUUUAAAGAGUUAAAAUUAUUGCCAUCACCAAUCUGACACAUAGCAAGAUAUAUAUUUAUUGAAAUACCUGAUCAUUUGAAGUUUGUAGCAUCAUGAUUUCUUCUGACGUACAUUGAAUCCUUUGUUCUUCAUUGUCAUCCAUUAUCUCUUCUAGAUUAUUCUCAUGCUUGUUCUGCACAUUAGCAGUUAGCAUAAAGAUAUUUGUAAAGGUGAUUAAACUGGAAAACACAUGUUGAUUGAAAUACCUUAUCAACUGAAAAUUCUGACUUACUAAUCAUUUUUGAUUUAUAUUGCUUGGGAUCUUCAUUUACCAUUGGUGUUUCAUCUUCCUUUUUACUUCUUUUGCUAUUCAUCUUCUUCUGCUUUAAUUUAUGCCCAGUUUGUGGCUUCCAUUCUUGAUCGGGCUAUUCUGUGAUGAUAUUGCCGUUGCUCUCAGAAUCCCUCUCUCUUGCAAUAGUAUUUUGCUGUUUGUAUAAAUAUUUAAAUUAUAUUAUUUGUCUAUUUAAAUAUAAAUUGACACAUAUGAAAAUUGAUAUUUCGUAUUUAUGUAGUACCUGAUCAACAUUUAUCUGAACAUUUGAAUCUUCUGAUUUACUUAAUCUUCUCCCUGUAUUUUGGCUCUUCUUUUGCUUGUGUUUUCUCUUUUGGAGGGUCUUUGCUUCCUCAUUGUUGGUGACGUUGCAUUUCCUGUCACCCUUUAGGUCCGCUGAAUCUGUGGUGUAUUCUCUCUACAAUAAAAAACAACAACAUUUAUUGAUUCAUUGAACUCAAACAAAAAGAAAGAGUUUCUGUUUAUUCAAAUACCUCAUAAGUUGAAUUUUUCUGCUCGAUAUCAACUGUUUUGCCUUUUCUUUUUUCAUGAGCAACUUUUUUUCAUUUUAUUUGACCACCAGUUUCUUUAUGCUUCCUCUUUUUAUUAUUUGAUGUCUCUUGGAGGCUCUCUCUGUUUUUAUUGGUGCUGAUGUUGUCUUUCUUGUCAUCCUUUUGCUCCUUUGAAUCAUUGUUGUAUUUUCCCUAAAAAACCAAAAUUUGUUGAUAUCAUUGAACACAAAAAAAAACAAUACAAAUUCAAAUACCUCACAAGCUGAAUGUUUAGUCUCAAACACAACUAUUCUGUCUUUUCUUUUUCUGUGAUGAAUUUUCUUCCUAUUUGUUUGACCACAAUUGUCCUUGUGUUUCAUCUUUUUGCCACUAAUCUUUUUGCUUAAUCUUAUUCCAGUCUCUAUAGCAUCUUCUAAUUUUUGUUUCGCGUGAUUGAAGUCAACAUCUGAGCCUUCAAGUUCAAGUGUUGUUUUUUGCAUACUUGUCUCUUUGUAAUCUU